AGUAAUACAUAAGUAACCUGCCCUAGACAGGGGGAUAACUAUUGGAAACGAUAGCUAAGACCGCAUAGGUACGGACACUGCAUGGUGACCGUAUUAAAAGUGCCUCAAAGCACUGGUAGAGGAUGGACUUAUGGCGCAUUAGCUGGUUGGCGGGGUAACGGCCCACCAAGGCGACGAUGCGUAGCCGACCUGAGAGGGUGACCGGCCACAUGGGACUGAGACACGGCCCAG
rnacentral:rRNA from 1 species